rnacentral:rRNA from 1 species
UACGUAGGGCGCGAGCGUUGUCCGGAUUUAUUGGGCGUAAAGAGCUCGUAGGCGGCUUGUCGCGUCGAAUGUGAAAUCUCAGGGCUCAACUCUGACAUUGCAUUCGAUACGGGCAGGCUUGAGUUCGGUAGGGGAGACCGGAAUUCCUGGUGUAGCGGUGAAAUGCGCAGAUAUCAGGAGGAACACCGGUGGCGAAGGCGGGUCUCUGGGCCGAUACUGACGCUGAGGAGCGAAAGCGUGGGGAGCGAACAGG